rnacentral:rRNA from 1 species
GAUGAACGCUGGCGGCGUGCCUAAUACAUGCAAGUCGAGCGAACAGAUGAGGAGCUUGCUCCUCUGACGUUAGCGGCGGACGGGUGAGUAACACGUGGAUAACCUACCUAUAAGACUGGGAUAACUUCGGGAAACCGGAGCUAAUACCGGAUAAUAUAUUGAACCGCAUGGUUCAAUAGUGAAAGACGGUUUUGCUGUCACUUAUAGAUGGAUCCGCGCCGCAUUAGCUAGUUGGUAAGGUAACGGCUUACCAAGGCGACGAUGCGUAGCCGACCUGAGAGGGUGAUCGGCCACACUGGAACUGAGACACGGUCCAGACUCCUACGGGGGGCAGCAGUAGGGAAUCUUCCGCAAUGGGCGAAAGCUUGACGGAGCAACGCCGCGUGAGUGAUGAAGGUCUUCGGAUCGUAAAACUCUGUUAUUAGGGAAGAACAAAUGUGUAAGUAACUAUGCACGUCUUGACGGUACCUAAUCAGAAAGCCACGGCUAACUACGUG